rnacentral:rRNA from 1 species
CAGCCGCCGCGGGAAUCCGUAGGUGGCAAGCGUUGUCCGGAAUUAUUGGGCGUAAAGGGCUCGCAGGCGGUUUCUUAAGUCUGAUGUGAAAGCCCCCGGCUCAACCGGGGAGGGUCAUUGGAAACUGGGAAACUUGAGUGCAGAAGAGGAGAGUGGAAUUCCACGUGUAGCGGUGAAAUGCGUAGAGAUGUGGAGGAACACCAGUGGCGAAGGCGACUCUCUGGUCUGUAACCGACGCUGAGGAGCGAAAGCGUGGGGAGCGAACAGGAUUAGAUACCCCGGUAGUCCCUGUCUCUUAUAC